AGUGAACGCUGGCGGUAGGCCUAACACAUGCAAGUCGAACGGCAGCACAGUAAGAGCUUGCUCUUACUGGUGGCGAGUGGCGGACGGGUGAGGAAUACAUCGGAAUCUACUUUUUCGUGGGGGAUAACGUAGGGAAACAUACGCUAAUACCGCAUACGACCUACGGGUGAAAGCAGGGGAUCUUCGGACCUUGCGCGUUUGAAUGAGACGAUGUCGGAUUAGCUAGUUGGCUGGGUAAGGGCCCACCAAGGCGACGAUCCGUAGCUGGUCUGAGAGGAUGAUCAGCCACACUGGAACUGAGACACGGUCCAGACUCCUACGGGAGGCAGCAGUGGGGAAUAUUGGACAAUGGGCGAAAGCCUGAUCCAGCCAUGCCGCGUGGGUGAAGAAGGCCUUCGGGUUGUAAAGCCCUUUUGUUGGGAAAGAAAAGCAGCAGGUUAAUACCCCGCUGUUCUGACGGUACCCAAAGAAUAAGCACCGGCUAACUUCGUG
rnacentral:rRNA from 1 species